rnacentral:rRNA from 1 species
UACGAAGGGGGCUAGCGUUGUUCGGAAUUACUGGGCGUAAAGCGCGCGCAGGCGGUUUUUCAAGUCAGUGGUGAAAGCCCGGAGCUCAACUCCGGAACUGCCAUUGAAACUGUAAAACUUGAGGAUGAGAGAGGCAAGUGGAAUUCCCGGUGUAGCGGUGAAAUGCGCAGAUAUCGGGAGGAACACCAGUGGCGAAGGCGAGUCUCUGGGAUGAUGCUGACGCUGAGGCGCGAAAGCCAGGGGAGCAAACGGG